GAACAAGGCAACCAAUCAAAAACACCUCAACUCUUGGGGCGUGGCUAUCCUGUCAGUGCGCGAGUGCUAACAGUGAGAAGCAGUGGGACAGGAGAGUGCAAAUUAGAGUUUUAGAGUUGGGACUG
ensembl:ncRNA F13D11.11 ncRNA